rnacentral:piRNA from 1 species
UGGAUAGUGACGAUGUUUGGAUGGUUGA